rnacentral:rRNA from 1 species
AACGUAGGGCGCGAGCGUUAUCCGGAGUUACUGGGCGUAAAGCGCGCGCAGGCGGAUGAUUAAGUCGUGUAUGAAAGCCCCUGGCUAAACUGGGGGAGGCUAGACGAUACUGGUCAUCUUGAGUGGGUGAGAGGGAUGUGGAAUUCCGCGUGUAGUGGUGAAAUGCGUAGAUAUGCGGAGGAACACCAGAGGCGAAGGCGACAUCCUGGCACUUAACUGACGCUGAGGCGCGAAAGCAUGGGUAGCGAACGGG